rnacentral:rRNA from 1 species
GACGAACGCUGGCGGCGUGCUUAACACAUGCAAGUCGAACGGAAAGGCCCUGCUUGCAGGGUACUCGAGUGGCGAACGGGUGAGUAACACGUGGGUGAUCUGCCCUGCACUUCGGGAUAAGCCUGGGAAACUGGGUCUAAUACCGGAUAUGACCUUCCAUGUAGUGUGGGGGGUGGAAAGAUUUAUCGGUGUGGGAUGAGCCCGCGGCCUAUCAGCUGGUUGGUGGGGUAAUGGCCUACCAAGGCGCCGACGGGUAGCCGGCCUGAGAGGGUGGACGGCCACAUUGGGACUGAGAUACGGCCCAGACUCCUACGGGAGGCAGCAGUGGGGAAUAUUGCACAAUGGGCGGAAGCCUUAUGCAGCGACGCCGCGUGGGGGAUGACGGCCUUCGGGUUGUAAACCUCUUUCGACAGGGACGAAGCUUCGGUGACGGUACCUGUAUAAGAAGCACCGGCUAACUACGUG